AAAAUUACUACAAACUCUAUUUUUUAUUUGAUUCACAUUGAUUUAUGGGACCAUAUCAAGUACAUUCUAUUUCAAAUUCCAAGUAUGUUCUCACCAUUGUUGAUGAUUUCUCAAGGGUCACAUGGACAUAUUUAUUGCAUGAUAAAAUUAGAGUUUACAAUGCAUUGAUUGAGUUUUUCAACAUGGUCCAAAACCAGUUUCAAAAACAAAUUAAAAUAAUAAGGUCAGAUAAUGGUACUGAAUUCAUCAAUCAACAAUGCUCCACAUUUUUCAAAAAUAAGGGGAUUUUACAUCAAAGGACUUGUCCAUAUUCUCCACAACAGAAUGGAGUGGUGGAAAGAAAACACAAGCAUUGUUACAAGUGGCAAGGGCCUUAAUGUUUGCAUCAAAAAUCCCAAAAUGUUUUUGGGGAGAAAGUAUUUUGACUACAACUUAUCUCAUAAAUAGGAUGCCAAGCACUGUUUUAAACUGGAAAACCCCUUAUGAAAUUUUAUUCAACAAAAAAUCAGAUUAUAAUUAUCUCAAAAUUUUUGGCUGUCUAUGUUAUGCUACUAACAUUAGACCACAAAAGCACAAAUUUGAAGAAAAGGGCUUUCAAAUGCAUUUUUAUUGGUUACGCUUCAGGAUUUAAGGCAUAUAAAUUAUAUGAUUUGCAUAACAAGAAAAUACUCAUUUCAAGAGAUGUGAUUUUCUAUGAAAAUUGUUUUCCAUAAACAAGUGGGCAUUCUGAGCAAGAAGAUACAAGUGUCAUUCCAUUAGCAAUAACAGAUAUAGAACCAACUCACCUUCCUUUUGAUACCAACUUAUCACACAAUUCAGAUGACAC
rnacentral:misc_RNA from 1 species